rfam:TPA: Bos taurus chromosome 2, whole genome shotgun sequence.
UCCCUGGUGGCUUAGUGGUAAAGAAUCUGCCUGCCAAGGCAGGAGAUGUGGGUUUGAUCCCUGGCUUGGGAA